UAUAACUUUAUUGUUAGUCCAUUCGUUUUCUUCUUUUUAAUAAGUUCUCCUUUGGGUAAUACCGAGUCCGAGCGUUAAUUAAAAUAGAAGAUAUGAAUGAAUGAGCGUACCGAAAAUAUAAGAAAUGUAUCACAAUGUCGUCCAUUUUUAUAUAGAAAUGGAAUUGCGUACGACCUGUGUACAUUAAAUUUUUGGUACGCGAAACAGUGAUACUUAUUUGUGAUCGAUAAUCGCGACGAAAGGUAUAGGUAGAAUUUUAAAUUCGCCACCUUUCGCUUCGCCGUUUUGUUUUAAUUUUUUUUUUCCGUUUCCUUUAAUUUAGUACAGUUCUGUCGUUUAUAGCUACUUCAAAAUCCUUACGUUCUGCUUUUUUUUCUGUUUAUUCAACGGAUACGUUUGUGCACUAGCCUUUCUUUUUUAUUUUUUCUUUUCGUUUGUAACUCGUUUCACCACAAUAUUUAAUCCACUUGACAUUAAUUAUUAUUUUAUUUAACAUUAGCAUCUUCCAAAACCUAACAAACAUAUUCAGUGGAUCGUCUGUGAUGGUGAUAACUGAGUUGGGCCUACCAUCAUUUUAUAUUAUACAUACAGAUAAAUACACACACAUUUACACACAAAUACAUGUAGAUAGUCUCUAAUAUCGCGUAGGUUUUUGCAUCGAUAUAAAUAUUAAUGGUUUUUCUUCUAUUAUUAUUACUGUUAUCAUUAUGCAUUAUAUACGUACAGAAGAUGAUAUAGAUUCAUGUGCAUAUAUUAUAAAUAUAUAUACACAUAUAUUACGAAGAUACACACACGCAUAUGUACAGUAUGUACGUACAACAGAUAUACAAACAUAGCUCGUUUAGAAACAAGAAAACUAAUUUUAUCUAAUUUAGACAAACUAAAAAAAGAAUAUAUAUGUAUAUAUAUAUAUAUAUAUAUAUAUAUAUAUAUAUAUAUAUUGCUGUUUCGUUUUUGUCAAUAUAUGAAAUCUACUCUUUGAAAGAUGAUUGUUCGAACGAGAGGAAAAUUUUAAAGACCGGUCCAAAAGUCCGUUAAAAAGCUUGCAAAAGACUCGAUCUUGAUCAUUUUGAUCUUGUAAUGAUACGCACGCACCAGAGUCAAAUUCUUUAUAUUUUGAAGGUAUACCACGGACAAUGACUUGUCUCUCUUUUCUCUCGAACAACAGUAAGAACCGAUAUGUGUUUUCAACACGAUUCAUCACGAUGGUUUUCAACACGAUUCAUCACGAGGAUUUCUCGCCUACGGCGACACUUAUACACGCACGACUUUUCCAUGUUUUCUCGGCGUUUCUCGGAAGAUUAGCCAGAAGAUAAGAAGAGAUGAGGAUGGAAAGAAUUAAGAGAAAGGGGGGGAGGGGAGAAAGAAGAAGAAAGAGGAAAAAACGUCGAACCAAAUCGCGAGUUCUUUGUACUCGUCCAUAUAAUAACAAUACAUACAUAUAUAUAAGCAUAUAUUAUAUAUUAUUUACGCAAAGUAAACUUUAACGAGAAACGUACAAAAUGGAAAAGAAGGAAAUGAAAUAAGCGAACGCGCCUAUUACUGAUAACAAAGUUAAAGGAGGUGAAAGAGGAUAAGUUAAAAGGAGAGAAAUUAAAAAAAUCUUCGGACGUGGAUCACACGAAUAUUGGCAAGAAGGAUCGACGAGAAAAGAUUAGAGGAAAUUCGUUUAACAUCGGCUUUCCAUUUUCUCGUCGAUGCGAUUUCGGUCACGCGUGUUCUACGUCGCGAGUCCCGAUUAAGUUUCACAGAUUAUAAAUUUCAUGCCCUCCCUCGCAUACGCAAUUCCUUGAAAAACAAAAACCUCUUAUCGAAGGAAAUUAAAAGGGUAGGAGGAAAAGCCGGUUUUAUCCGAGGAACCCGAGUGCUAGAAUGAAAAAAACGUAUUAAAUGACAAAAGAAAAAAGAAAGAAAAAAGAAAAGAAACAAGAAGAAAAUUAUUCCUCUUAUUUCCUCUAAAUGGUGUAAUUUAAUAGUAAUAAUAAUAAUGAGAUGAAACAAUAAUGAUUAUGAUAAUGUACAUUACCCGAUUAUUGUUAAUACUUAAACGUUAGAGCAAGAAAGAAAUUUUAUAUCGAUUGACGCUACUGGAGAGCGAUUUUGUUUUUCCCUUUGCUCGCGAAGACGCUGAAUCAGAUGCGCCUUCGUCUCUCGAAGUUGCGUUCCGUAAGAAAAAGAACUUAUCGCGAUUAGAAGGAAGAAAACUAAUACAAGGCAAAAAUAGAGAGAGAGAGAGAGAUAGAGAGAGAGAGAGAGAGAGAGAGAGAGAGAGAGAGAGAGAGAAAGAGAGAGGAGAGAGAGAAAGAGAUAUGUGUUUUGUUUGUAACAGAUACGUUUAAAAAUUGUAUUAAUCAAUUUUAUUAAUGAGAAGACAGGGAGUACUACUUUGAAAGAAAGAGAGAGAUAAGUGGAAGAUAGAUGGAAAACGUUGUUGGAGAGACAAGGAUACCAGGCGUCGAUGACAGAAAUAGUACACACACCGGCUGUCUUUCACACUCUUACGGUUGAAAGAGUCCGAGCUCCAGGUUUGUUCUAACUUCUAAAAGCGUGUGCCGAUCUGGAGAAAUGAAAAGAAACGAAAAAAGCGGAUAAUUUCUGAGAAAGAAAAAGAAAGAGUCGUGAUUUUCAGGAGCUCGGCCGUUUAUCGAAUCGAUCGGAUACGUUGGCUAAGGUACAAAUGUACAUAGAACAUAAUGUUGUUAUUAACAAUACUAAUACAUAUACUUACAUAUACAUACACAAACACAACACAGCCAUAUAUGGUCGCUAUUCGCUCGUGCGCGUUUUUCGAAGCGGAUAAAAAGUUUAGAUAAAUGAAGAUGGGAAUAGAAAAUUUAUGAUGAUAAUUUGUUAAAACUCGGCUCGAAGAGAAAGAGAUAUUUGAUUGGAUUGAAAUAGAUGAAGAUGAGGAGUUGAGGAGAUGAGGAGAAGAGGGAGAAAAAAAGAGAUAUUAGAAAAGUUUUGUUGUUAGAAUGAUCUCGUACGAUUUUCGAAGGCGCGUAGGAGCGAGGAUUAUCGGACGAGAAUAUGAAAGAAUAUUGAUUAAUUAUGGAUCGGCGAUCGUUCGUUCUCCAUUUACAUCCAAUUGUCAGAAAAAAAGACAUGUUGAGAAAAAAGAUAUUACACUACAAAUCCGUUUUCGCUCUUCGCACUUGCACUACGCUCGGGACUUUAUUCUACAUGAUAUAACAUAUACAUAUAUAUAAUAGUAAUAGUAUGACGAUACGAAGGUAUAUAUGUAAGUGCGCUAGAGCGCUAAUUAAGAUUUUACGCGUGAGCAUAUAUUGAUCCCCUCCUCCAUACCCAUACCCAAAACACUCCCCGUAGUUCUAUGCAAACCCGAAAAUACCAAAACCCGUUUAUAAUAUACACUUCUCCUAUUAUUAGAAAAGGCUUUAAAAGGAACCAUUAGUGUUUGAAUGGCGUGUGAAUGUGUUGCUACUCCCUUUUUGUUUCUGUACGGUGUUAGCGUUCAUUCGUAAUACUAUAUUAUAUCAUAUAUAUAUUAUAUAUAUAUAUAUAUAAAUAUAUAUUGUACGUUUUAAAUAGAAUAGUAUACGUUGUGUGUAAAGGUGUAUCCAAGCGGCCAUUUUUUUCUUAUUAAAUUCAAUGAAAUUAGAAUGAUAUUGGUAGUAGUAAUUUUAAACGUAGUCAUUACGAACGAACAAUUCGUUAUGACAGUUUAAAAAAAAAAAUUAAAUUUUUCUUUUAUGAUUUUUAAAUUAAAAAAAAAUUUUUUUUUAAUUUAGGGCCGUUGUGAGCGGUACAUGAUCGUGUCAGUAUAUAAAUAGAAACCUUCAAUGUAUCUCGCGAUAGCAACGACGAUAAGAGAGAUACAUGUGUUUCUCGACGUAUACGUCAUAUGCUAUAUGCACAAAUACGACGUGUAAGACUGCAACGCGAUGAUUCGCUUUUUUUAUAAGAAAUUCGAUUACGGCAAAACGUAAAUUUAUAAAAUUAACACCAAUCGCGUGAGGAUUCUGACGGAGGGAAGCAUAAGUAAUAUUCGACGGAUAUUCGACGAGUAAGAUUUCCAGAAUUACGAUUCGGACUUUACCUUCUUUCGGAAUUCUUCGGACGUAUUAAGGAAAGAAUUUUUUUAAUAAAUUAUCUAUGGUAACCAUGAUCGUUGAGCGCGACAAGUUUCUUUUUCUUUUUUUUUUUUUUUUAGGAGGCUAAAUGUAACAAAGGCGCGGAUCCGAAGGGUAGAUUUUUAAAAGAUUGUCUCGAAGAAGUAAUGAGACCAUGACGAGAGGAGAGGAAGAAGAAAAAGAGGCAAUUAACACGAGGACUAAAUUAAGAGUUUCGUAAAAAUUUAGUAGAUCGUAAUUUGGAGCAUUUUUAUUCGGCUGUGUUUAAUAAGGGGUGGGGAUGGGGAAUGGGAGAAGAAAAAGAAAAAAAGAAAGGACGAAACGGAUAACUAAAAGAAAAAAAGAAAAAAAAAAAACAAAGCAAAAUUUAGAUUCGCUAAGAUUUCAAAAAUUUAGAUGAAUAAUUUUUGUACCCUAUUUUUUUAAGUGCGAUCAACUUCCUAGUCGAUCACGGUUAUGGAAGGGAAGGGUCGAGAAAAAGUUUUUUGAUACGCUAGACUUUAUCGGAUUUAAGGCGCCAAUUAAGUUUAGUUUUUAAGUGCGCGUUACUGUAAGCUGUAGAAUUUUUAUAUGUGUCAAAAUAAAGUGGAAAAAAAUGGAAAUUGGCGAUAAACGUAGAUAAUAUUGAUCCGAGAUUCGCCUCCGCUUAGCCCGUUAGGUUUUUUUUACGGACAACAAAAUUGAAUGGAGACGAUAAAAAAGAAAGAGAAAUAGAAGAUGAAAAAUUAUAGAGAAAAUUUUGAAUGAGAUCGAGUCCAGCAAAGUAGCACCUUCCGAAAAAGCUUUGAAAGACGAUCGAACAUAAAAAUUUCGAUCGUUUUCGAUAAUUAUCCUCGACGUUGAUUACGAUGACGACGACGACACGACGAUUGAUCGUGUUUUUAUUUUUUUUUUUUUUUGGAUCAAUCAACUUUCCAAUUUCUCACAUACACACAUACACACAGCGCAUCGAAUAAGGCCAAGGCGAAUUCUCUUAAUAGCCCCACACAACUCUUAAGUCUAUAAGUAAGUUUAUAAUAUAAAGGAAUGAAAUCAUUCAUUAGCUCUUCGUAAAGUAACUUAAUCGUCUUUUUAAAAUAAGUUGAAGAAAAAGAAAGGAGAAACCGAUCGGACGGCAAGCAUGGAAGCGAUCUAAAAGAAUCGUUGUAGAAAAAAACAUGCAUUUUGCAACGCAAAAGCAAUUUAAUCAUGCUGGUAGUGCGGACCAAACGGGACAAAUGCGGAAGAAAUGUUUUUUAAAAGGAAAGAGAAACAGAGAGAAAAAAGUUAGAAGAAAAUGAUUCGAGCGAAAGGAAAAGAAAGAUAAAUAAAUGGAAAGAAAAAAGAAGGAAGUGAGAGAGAGAGAGAAAGAGAGAUAUGGAGCGCACUUUAAGGUCGUGCAACCACGAAACUGCGAGUUUCAUUUACAAUAUAUUUCUGAUAUAGAUACUAUCAAAGAAAGAGGAAAAAAGAGAGUAAUAGUAUUAUACAGUAUGACCUCGUUUAACUUGAUCAUAAAGAAUUAUAAAGAAUUUUUUUUGUUUCAAAAAGGAAUUUGAAUUUAACAAAAUUGUUCACAAAAAUUUAUUGUAAAUUUUAACACUAGAACUUUUACCACAUCUAUCAAGUUGAUGAAUAUUUGAAAAAAAAAACAGUAUCCGUCGUAAUUAUUAAAGUUAAUAUUAUAUUUUAUUAUAAUUCCAAUUAAUAUUAUUUUAAAAAUUAUGAUUUCGAUAAAUAUAAAAGAAGACAUGUUAAAUCAUUUAAGUAGUUUUAAUGUUAAAUGAUUGGAUUUGAAUAGAUCACCACUUUCUCUAUAUGGAAAUAUUUUGAAUUAAAUCUUAUAAAGUAUUUUGAACGUAGGUAUUUUUUAAACGUUUCUAUCAUUGAUGAAGUUAAAAAGAAACUCUGUUGGAUUUAGCCGGCAAUGAUUACAAAGGACGUACAUUUAAUUUAAUUGGCAGACGUCUCGAGCAUUCGGCAAACAUCGUAUUCCUUCGGGUUGCAUCGAAAUGUAGUGGACAGAGAAAAUUCCUUUUGUUGCGAUCUCUCUUUAUCUUAACAAAAAGGAUAAAAAAGAGAAAAGAAAAAGAUUUUUUGAAUUUGAAAUUAAUCUUAUUUUUGUGUUUCGUGGUUGAACGCGCAUUCCAAUUUGCGAACCUGACUGGCUUCUAUCACGGGACAUUUUAUCAAUGUCCUGAGUGUUUCUUCUGAGUCAACAAAAAAAAAAAAUGAAAAAGGGAAAGGAAAAAUCGGUAUCGAAGAGAGAUAAAAAAAGUAAAAUGUUCCCAAGUUAGGAAGAAAAAAGCAGCGUGGCAGAUGUGUCCUUCGAUUACCUCCCCCACAUAAGAGUACAAAUUUUUCUAAUGGAUAAUUAUAUCGAACGCUGACUAAAAUAUAAAAACGAAGAAGAAAGACUAUGAGGCGAGAAAGAACAAAGUUUGAGAAAUAAAAUAAUGGGAGAAGGAACGCAAAGAUAACGGAAAAGUAAUGAAAAUUGAAAAAGAGGAAUUAUUAUUAUUAAUUAUUAUUAUCGAAGGAAAGAAAGGUGGAGCGAAUGUCAAAGGUGCGAUAGUGGAUAGAAAGAAAGUGUCGAAAGAGAUGGAAUUAAAUAUUAGAUUUAAAAAGGAAAGAAAAAAAAUAAACGUUUAAUGAUGUUUUCCCUGGUGGUAUAAAAUAAUAAUAUUAUUAUUAUUAAUAAUAAUAAUAAUAAUAUUAAUAAUAAUAAUAAUAAUAAUAAUAAUAAACAAUAAUAAUAAACAAUAAUAAUAAUUAUAAUAAUAAUGAUGGUAUAACGAUAUAAAAAUUUUAGAAGUUUAUUUAUACGGUACGUGAUUCGGCAUCUUACCAAGACUACGCAAGGGCCAUUGACGUUAUAUAUUUAUAUCGUGGUACGAUAUUUAUAUUUACGUAUAGAUACAGGAACACAUAUGUGAAGACACAAAAUCUAUUCGUAUGAAAAAUAACAGUACUCGUGUCAAAGACUCGAUUGCCGUUAAAGCAAUUUGAGAUGCGGCUGAGCAACGUUUUCUCGAUAUACCUCUUAAAAGAAGAAAAAAAAACAAAAUAAUAAACCAGAUUUUAAAAUUUAGGAUAAAAAACUAUAUAUGACGACGUUGGACAAUGGCCGGAUUCAAUACAAAGUUUCGAAAAACUUAUUUCGUGUUUAUCGGGCUGUUCUGAAAUACAAAAUGGCGUAAGAAGAAAAAUACAAAGAAAAAGCAUAUUAAAACGCAUACUAGAAAGGCAUAUUGAAAGAGGAAAUGAAUUCGCGAGAAGUUUAUAUCGUAGUUAUGUAAUAAGAUUUCGAAAUAUCGAUGUAGUUAGAAAUUCGGUGUGUUUAAAUUGCAUGAUGAAUCUAAAUACGAUAGGAUGCGAUAUAUUCGAGGGAAACCGAUAAUAAUACUACUGCUACUACUAUUAUACUAUUCUACCGCUACUGGUACUACUAAUCUACUAUUGAUACUACUAAUCUACUAUUACUGCUACUAUUAUCACUUACUAUUUAUUACUUACUAUUAACUAUUAUUACUAUCGAAAAGUUAUCUCUUUCUAGCUACCCCUUUUUCACUUUAAUAUGCUGACCAUCAGCCGAUCGUGAGUCGAUUAUAAAAGAUGUCCGUUUGUGUCAAAAAAGAAACUAUAGGAACUAACUUAUGGCGAAAAAGGAUGUUACGAUAUUUCGAUUUUUAAGAAUUCGGAGCAUUGUCAAGAAACGAAAAGUGAAUGUGUUGGAGUUCCCUCGAUUUUUAUAUAAACUUUUAUUUUCGAUAUAUUGACGUUGAAAAAAAUAAGAAAAAAAAAAAAAAAAAAAAAAAAAAAAAAAAAAAAAAAAAAAAAAGAUGGAGUUUCGUUUACGGCCUAGAUGACAGCGCGAAAAUCUCGUCGCCAAUAUAUUUCCGAAUUUUGGGAAAUCGAUAAUCGUAAAAAAUCACUUCGUAUACACGAUAUACAUAUUUAAUGAAAUAAACGAAAUAUCGAAUCAACCAUUACUGCCAUGUAACAAGACUCGAGAAACAUAAUCAAUUUCAGCCUAAUAAUAAUAACAAUAACAACAAUAAUAACAACAACAACAAUAAUAAUAAUAAUAGUAAUCACUUUUCUCCGAAAUAUUACAUUUUUAUAUACAUUUUUGAUAUUGAAACUUUAUACAAUUUCAUGCCAAUUAUUUAAACACAUAUUUCGAAAAAUAUUUCGUUGUUCCGAUGCCUUUUUAGACUGAUCUCUUGUCACGAGUAAUAAUCGAAAAAUAGAAAUUUUACAAAAUAGAAAAAUCUAUAUAAAUUGCUUAUAUGAAAAAAUAAAAAAUAAAUAAUUUACGAUACCGACGGCAAUGUCCGUGCAACGAAUUUCAUGAGAAAAUGAUUACAACAUUUUUCUGCAUUUUUUUUUUGUUUUCUAUCUUCUCUUUGUAUUCUGUGGUAAGAACUACUUUGUAUGAUCGACAACGACGAAUUCAUUUAUUUAUAUCGAUUAAUAAUGAUAAUAAUAAUAAUAAUUAAAAAAUUGUAAUAUUAGUAAUAACGAUUAGAGUAAUAAUGACAACAUAGUAAUAAUAAUUGUAAUAGGGAUAAAAGAUCAUCCAAUGAAUGACGUUAAAGAUAGUGAGUAACACCAAGGAUUAAAACCAACAAUCGGAGGGGAAUAAAGACGUCGAAAAAAAUAUACGCGCGUCCAGACACCGUCGACUCAGUUGACUCCAUAUUCGAAUCUUCAAGAAUUCCUUGAUCAUUCGAAUAUCCGUACGUUUUGUCUCGAGGGCUGGGUGGACGGUCAACGGUUGUCGACAAAAAAGUGAGAGAGAUACGUAUACACAUUAUUAAUAAUAAUAUACACUAUGGAAAUAUAUACAUAUAUACUAUAUAUAUAUUUUUGAUAUAAAUCUAUUCAAAAGUGCUCGACAAAAAAAGAAGAUGAGUGGAAGAGAGCUACGUAAAAAUGUAAAUAGAAAGUAUAACAACAAUAAUAAAAAAAAGAACAGGUGUGUUUUUUUUUUAAUAAUAUUCGUCGUUGUCGACCAAAAGAGAGGAGAAACGUGGCUGCUUUAUGAGUGACAUCCGUAUAUCAAAAUUUAGAGAGAAAUUUUCUAAUCGCAUGGAGAGAAUGUCUAUAAGCCUCCUUCAAUCGACGUAUAUGUCUUUAUCAUAUACGUUUGUGUGAAAAAUUUGGAUUUUUAUUUGGAAUUGAAAGAAAUGUUCGGAAAAACUCGUUUUGCGGCCCGUUGAAACUUUCCUACAAAGUUUUCAUUCUUAUCGUUUAAAGACAGUCAAUGGCUCGCAGUUGUUUUAACUCUACACUAUUGAAUUUUUAUCAAUUCUUUUAUAAUUCGUUUAAAUGCCAAAGAGCACGGAGAACAUGACACAUUUAGGGUGGGAAUUUUCAAAUAUAUAUAUCAACCAUCGGGACACGUUGAUGGAUUCAAAAAUUAAUUCAAAGAUUCCAUCAUUCGUAUCUUCACUUUCAUAUCUCGUUUAUAUUCACAUAGCUAGUAAUCGAACAAGACCGAUUUCACGUUUAUCUGAAAAGUUUUUUAACAAAGGUCUUCAACGGACAGUCUCUUGUAAGUUAUGAUCGACCAACGAAACAUCGUUCGAUCGUAUCAAUAAGAACGGAAGGAAAAAAUAAAAAAAAUAAAAAUAAAAAAAAAAGAAAAA